rnacentral:rRNA from 1 species
AGAGUUUUUUCCUGGCUCAGGAUGAACGCUGGCGGCAUGCCUAAUACAUGCAAGUCGAACGAGAGGAAGGAAAGCUUGCUUUUCUGAAUCUAGUGGCGAACGGGUGAGUAACACGUAGGUAACCUGCCCAUGUGCCCGGGAUAACUUCUGGAAACGGAUGCUAAAACCGGAUAGGUAGCAGACAAGCAUUUGACUGCUAUUAAAGUGGCUAAGGCCAUGAACAUGGAUGGACCUGCGGUGCAUUAGCUAGUUGGUGAGGUAACGGCCCACCAAGGCGACGAUGCAUAGCCGGCCUGAGAGGGCGGACGGCCACAUUGGGACUGAGACACGGCCCAAACUCCUACGGGAGGCAGCAGUAGGGAAUUUUCGUCAAUGGGGGGAACCCUGAACGAGCAAUGCCGCGUGAGUGAGGAAGGUCUUCGGAUCGUAAAGCUCUGUUGUAAGAGAAAAACGACAUUCAUAGGGAAUGAUGAGUGAGUGAUGGUAUCUUACCAGAAAGUCACGGCUAACUACGUGCCAGCAGCCGCGGUAAUACGUAGGUGGCGAGCGUUAUCCGGAAUGAUUGGGCGUAAAGGGUGCGUAGGUGGCAGAACAAGUCUGGAGUAAAAGGUAUGGGCUCAACCCGUACUGGCUCUGGAAACUGUUCAGCUAGAGAACAGAAGAGGACGGCGGAACUCCAUGUGUAGCGGUAAAAUGCGUAGAUAUAUGGAAGAACACCGGUGGCGAAGGCGGCCGUCUGGUCUGUUGCUGACACUGAAGCACGAAAGCGUGGGGAGCAAAUAGGAUUAGAUACCCUAGUAGUCCACGCCAUAAACGAUGA